GGGGACUGCGGAGGGAUCAUUACCGAGUUUACAACUCCCAAACCCCUGUGAACAUACCACUUGUUGCCUCGGCGGAUCAGCCCGCUCCCGGUAAAACGGGACGGCCCGCCAGAGGACCCCUAAACUCUGUUUCUAUAUGUAACUUCUGAGUAAAACCAUAAAUAAAUCAAAACUUUCAACAACGGAUCUCUUGGUUCUGGCAUCGAUGAAGAACGCAGCAAAAUGCGAUAAGUAAUGUGAAUUGCAGAAUUCAGUGAAUCAUCGAAUCUUUGAACGCACAUUGCGCCCGCCAGUAUUCUGGCGGGCAUGCCUGUUCGAGCGUCAUUUCAACCCUCAAGCACAGCUUGGUGUUGGGACUCGCGUUAAUUCGCGUUCCUCAAAUUGAUUGGCGGUCACGUCGAGCUUCCAUAGCGUAGUAGUAAAACCCUCGUUACUGGUAAUCGUCGCGGCCACGCCGUUAAACCCCAACUUCUGAAUGUGACCUCGGAUCAGGUAGGAUGCCCGAGU
rnacentral:rRNA from 1 species